GUGCUCGCGCCGCCGGUGUGUGUUCGCCCUCCCUUCCGGAGCGGCGGCGGUGGCCGCGGUGGCGCUGUUUGCUGGCGAACCGCUUCAGGCUG
rnacentral:SRP_RNA from 1 species